AGUUUGGGAUCUAGUGAUCAUCAGUCUGUGUGGUUUAACAGUGACUGAGUCACACUACACAAAAACAAAAGUUUUAGAAAAGCUGACUUUUAUAAAAUGAGAAUAUGUGUAGAGGAGUCAUUAUCAGGCUGGGGCAAUUUAAAUGGGGUCUAGGAGAAAUUGGAUUAUUUAAAAGUUGAAUUAUUGAAGGUAGCAGAAAAUUUAAUUAGGCUGGUCAGUAAGAGCAAACAAUUAAAGAAACCACUGUGGCACUUGGCAGAAGUGGCCAAAAUAGUAAACCACAAGAAGUUAGUAUUGGUAAAUUAGUAAAGUGAGGAAGAUGGAUAGAUGUGUAAGAUUAAGCAGAAAGAGGCAAAGCAAGUCAUAAGAGCUGCCAAAACACACGCAGAA